GAGCACUGUGGUACCACAGCAGUGGCUCUGGAUCAGAACUCUGCUCUCCUAGGGGCUAGAUGCAGAGACCUGGUACCCAAGGCCUCUGUUCUGAUGCCAUUCUC
rnacentral:pre_miRNA from 1 species